rnacentral:tRNA from 1 species
GCCGGUGUGGUGGAAUGGCAGACGCGACGGACUCAAAAUCCGUUGGGCUCCGGCCCGUGAGAGUUCAAGUCUCUCCACCGGCA